ACAUCCAGAGAAUUUAGCAGAGAUGCUUUAGUGCCUUCGGGAACUCUGAGACAGGUGCUGCUAUGGCUGUCGUCAGCUCGUGUUGUGAAAUGUUGGGUUAAGUCCCGCAACGAGCGCAACCCUUAUCCUUUGUUGCCAGCACGUAAUGGUGGGAACUCAAAGGAGACUGCCGGUGAUAAACCGGAGGAAGGUGGGGAUGACGUCAAGUCAUCAUGGCCCUUACGAGUAGGGCUACACACGUGCUACAAUGGCGCAUACAAAGAGAAGCGACCUCGCGAGAGCAAGCGGACCUCAUAAAGCGCGUCGUAGUCCGGAUUGGAGUCUGCAACUCGACUCCAUGAAGUCGGAAUCGCUAGUAAUCGUAAAUCAGAAUGUUACGGUGAAUACGUUCCCGGGCCUUGUACACACCGCCCGUCACACCAUGGGAGUGGGUUGCAAAAGAAGUAGAUAGCUUAACCUUCGGGAGGGCGUUUACCACUUUGUGAUUCAUGACUGGGGUGAAGUCGUAACAAGGUAGGCGUAGUGCU
rnacentral:rRNA from 1 species